rnacentral:rRNA from 1 species
UUGGUUAAGUUAGAAAGGGCGCACGGUGGAUGCCUUGGCACUAGGAGCCGAAGAAGGACGGGACUAACACCGAUAUGCUUUGGGGAGCUGUACGUAAGCGUUGAUCCAGAGAUUUCCGAAUGGGGGAACCCACUAUCUUUAGUCGGAUAGUAUCCUUACGUGAAUACAUAGCGUGAGGAAGGCAGACCCAGGGAACUGAAACAUCUAAGUACCUGGAGGAAGAGAAAGAAAAAUCGAUUUCCUGAGUAGCGGCGAGCGAAACGGAAAGAGCCCAAACCAAGAAGCUUGCUUCUUGGGGUUGUAGGACACUCUAUACGGAGUUACAAAAGAAAGUUAUAAAUGAAGCGGUCUGGAAAGGCCCGCCAAAGACGGUAACAGCCCGGUAGUUGAAAUGGCUUUCCCUCCAGAGUGGAUCCUGAGUACGGCGGAACACGUGAAAUUCCGUCGGAAUCCGGGAGGACCAUCUCCCAAGGCUAAAUACUCCCUAGUGACCGAUAGUGAACCAGUACCGUGAGGGAAAGGUGAAAAGCACCCCGGAAGGGGAGUGAAACAGUUCCUGAAACCGUGUGCCUACAAGUAGUUAGAGCCCGUUAAUGGGUGAUAGCGUGCCUUUUGUAGAAUGAACCGGCGAGUUACGAUUUGUUGCAAGGUUAAGCGGAAAAAGCGGAGCCGUAGCGAAAGCGAGUCUGAAUAGGGCGCAUAAGUAACAGGUCGUAGACCCGAAACCAGGUGAUCUACCCAUGUCCAGGAUGAAGGUAAGGUAAUACUUACUGGAGGUCCGAACCCACGCACGUUGAAAAGUGCGGGGAUGAGGUGUGGGUAGCGGAGAAAUUCCAAUCGAACUUGGAGAUAGCUGGUUCUCUCCGAAAUAGCUUUAGGGCUAGCCUCGAGGUAAAGAGUCAUGGAGGUAGAGCACUGUUUGGACUAGGGGCCCUUCUCGGGUUACCGAAUUCAGAUAAACUCCGAAUGCCAUGUACUUAUACUCGGGAGUCAGACUGCGAGUGAUAAGAUCCGUAGUCGAAAGGGAAACAGCCCAGACCACCAGUUAAGGUCCCCAAAUAUAUGUUAAGUGGAAAAGGAUGUGGGGUUGCUUAGACAACCAGGAUGUUGGCUUAGAAGCAGCCACCAUUGAAAGAGUGCGUAAUAGCUCACUGGUCGAGUGACCCCGCGCCGAAAAUGUACCGGGGCUAAACAUAUUACCGAAACUGUGGAUGAACCUCUUUAGAGGUUCGUGGUAGGAGAGCGUUCUAAGGGCGGUGAAGUCAGACCGGAAGGACUGGUGGAGCGCUUAGAAGUGAGAAUGCCGGUAUGAGUAGCGAAAGAAGGGUGAGAAUCCCUUCCACCGAAUAUCUAAGGUUUCCUGAGGAAGGCUCGUCCGCUCAGGGUUAGUCGGGACCUAAGCCGAGGCCGAUAGGCGUAGGCGAUGGACAACAGGUAGAGAUUCCUGUACCAGUGCUAAUUGUUUAACCGAUGGGGUGACACAGAAGGAUAGGGAAUCGCACGAAUGGAAAUGUGCGUCCAAGCAGUGAGUGUGAGAAGUAGGCAAAUCCGCUUCUCGCGAAGCAUGAGCUGUGAUGGGGAAGGAAAUUAAGUACGGAAGUUCCUGAUUUCACGCUGUCAAGAAAAGCCUCUAGGAAGAGUAGUACUGCCCGUACCGCAAACCGACACAGGUAGAUGAGGAGAGAAUCCUAAGGUGAGCGAGAGAACUCUCGUUAAGGAACUCGGCAAAAUGACCCCGUAACUUCGGGAGAAGGGGUGCUCUAUUAGGGUGCAAGCCCGAGAGAGCCGCAGUGAAUAGGCCCAGGCGACUGUUUAGCAAAAACACAGGUCUCUGCAAAACCGUAAGGUGACGUAUAGGGGCUGACGCCUGCCCGGUGCUGGAAGGUUAAGAGGAGUGCUUAGCUUCGGCGAAGGUACGAAUUGAAGCCCCAGUAAACGGCGGCCGUAACUAUAACGGUCCUAAGGUAGCGAAAUUCCUUGUCGGGUAAGUUCCGACCCGCACGAAAGGCGCAACGAUCUGGGCACUGUCUCAACGAGAGACUCGGUGAAAUUAUAGUACCUGUGAAGAUGCAGGUUACCCGCGACAGGACGGAAAGACCCCGUGGAGCUUUACUGCAACCUGAUAUGGAAUGUUUGUACCGCUUGUACAGGAUAGGUAGGAGCCGA